rfam:Gossypium raimondii Chr04_contig_262, whole genome shotgun sequence.
AAUUAAAAAUUUCGUCCAUUUAUACUAUUAAAAGCUAAAAUGCAUGAGAGAAUAGUUAAACAGUAACAUGUGACGUGCCACAUGUAUGUCAUGUUGGCAUACAGUGACCAACUUUUAAUAGCAUAAUUGGAAAAAAAAUUUAAUA